UUAAGCAUAUCAAUAAGCGGAGGAAAAGAAACCAACAGGGAUUGCCCUAGUAACGGCGAGUGAAGCGGCAACAGCUCAAAUUUGAAAUCUGGCUUCGGCCCGAGUUGUAAUUUGUAGAGGAAGCUUUUGGUGAGGCACCUUCUGAGUCCCCUGGAACGGGGCGCCAUAGAGGGUGAGAGCCCCGUAUAGUCGGAUGCCGAUCCAAUGUAAAGCUCCUUCGACGAGUCGAGUAGUUUGGGAAUGCUGCUCAAAAUGGGAGGUAAAUUUCUUCUAAAGCUAAAUACCGGCCAGAGACCGAUAGCGCACAAGUAGAGUGAUCGAAAGAUGAAAAGCACUUUGAAAAGAGGGUUAAAUAGCACGUGAAAUUGUUGAAAGGGAAGCGUUUGUGACCAGACUUGCGCCGUUCCGAUCAUCCGGUGUUCUCACCGGUGCACUCGGGACGGCACAGGCCAGCAUCGGUUUUGGCGGGGGGAUAAAGGUCCUGGGAACGUAGCUCCUCCGGGAGUGUUAUAGCCCAGGGCGUAAUGCCCUCGCCGGGACCGAGGUUCGCGCAUCUGCAAGGAUGCUGGCGUAAUGGUCACCAACGACCCGUCUUGAAACACGGACCAAGGAGUCAAGGUUUUGCGCGAGUGUUUGGGUGUAAAACCCGCACGCGUAAUGAAAGUGAACGUAGGUGAGAGCUUCGGCGCAUCAUCGACCGAUCCUGAUGUAUUCGGAUGGAUUUGAGUAAGAGCGUUAAGCCUUGGACCCGAAAGAUGGUGAACUAUGCUUGGAUAGGGUGAAGCCAGAGGAAACUCUGGUGGAGGCUCGCAGCGGUUCUGACGUGCAAAUCGAUCGUCAAAUCUGAGCAUGGGGGCGAAAGACUAAUCGAACCAUCUAGUAGCUGGUUACCGCCGAAGUU
rnacentral:rRNA from 1 species